GUCCACGCUGUAAACGAUGAGUGCUAGGUGUUGGGGUCGAACCUCAGUGCCGCAGCUAACGCAUUAAGCACUCCGCCUGGGGAGUACGUACGCAAGUAUGAAACUCAAAGGAAUUGACGGGGACCCGCACAAGUAGCGGAGCAUGUGGUUUAAUUCGAAGCAACGCGAAGAACCUUACCAACAUUUGACAUCCCUCUGACCGGUCUAGAGAUAGACCUUCUCUUCGGAGCAGAGGUGACAGGUGGUGCAUGGUUGUCGU
rnacentral:rRNA from 1 species